AUUGAACGCUGGCGGCAGGCCUAACACAUGCAAGUCGAGCGGAUGACGGGAGCUUGCUCCUUGAUUCAGCGGCGGACGGUGAGUAAUGCCUAGGAAUCUGCCUGGUAGUGGGGGACAACGUUUCGAAAGGAACGCUAAUACCGCAUACGUCCUACGGGAGAAAGCAGGGGACCUUCGGGCCUUGCGCUAUCAGAUGAGCCUAGGUCGGAUUAGCUAGUAGGUGAGGUAAUGGCUCACCUAGGCGACGAUCCGUAACUGGUCUGAGAGGAUGAUCAGUCACACUGGAACUGAGAAACGGUCCAGACUCCUACGGGAGGCAGCAGUGGGGAAUAUUGGACAAUGGGCGAAAGCCUGAUCCAGCCAUGCCGCGUGUGUGAAGAAGGUCUUCGGAUUGUAAAGCACUUUAAGUUGGGAGGAAGGGCAGUAAGCUAAUACCUUGCUGUUUUGACGUUACCGACAGAAUAAGCACCGGCUAACUCUGUGCCAGCCGCCGCGGUAAUAC
rnacentral:rRNA from 1 species